rnacentral:rRNA from 1 species
GAGUUUGAUCAUGGCUCAAAACGUACGCUGGCGGCACGCCUAACACAUGCAAGUCGAACGAAGUAGCAAUACUUAGUGGCAGACGGGUGAGUAACAUGUAGGUAUCUGCCCUUUGGCCUGGAAUAACACGAGGAAACUUGUGCUAAUACCGGAUAAGUCUUUACGGAGAAAGCUUUAUGCACCAUUGGAUGAGCCUGCACUUGAUUAGUUUGUUGGUGGGGUAAUGGCCUACCAAGACUGUGAUCAAUAGCUGAUUUGAGAGGAUGAUCAGCCACAUUGGGACUGAGACACGGCCCAAACUCCUACGGGAGGCAGCAGUGGGGAAUCUUGCACAAUGGAGGAAACUCUGAUGCAGCGAUGCCGCGUGAGUGAAGAAGGCCCUUGGGUUGUAAAGCUCUUUCGUCGGGGAAGAAAAUGACUGUACCCGAAUAAGAAGGUCCGGCUAACUUCGUGCCAGCAGCCGCGGUAAUACGAAGGGACCUAGCGUAGUUCGGAAUUACUGGGCUUAAAGAGUUCGUAGGUGGUUGAAAAAGUUAGUGGUGAAAUCCCAGAGCUUAACUCUGGAACUGCCAUUAAAACUUUUCAGCUAGAGUAUGAUAGAGGAAAGCAGAAUUUCUAGUGUAGAGGUGAAAUUCGUAGAUAUUAGAAAGAAUACCAAUUGCGAAGGCAGCUUUCUGGAUCAUUACUGACACUGAGGAACGAAAGCAUGGGUAGCGAAGAGGAUUAGAUACCCUCGUAGUCCAUGCCGUAAACGAUGUGUGUUAGACGUUGGAAAUUUAUUUUCAGUGUCGCAGGGAAACCGAUAAACACACCGCCUGGGGAGUACGACCGCAAGGUUAAAACUCAAAUGAAUUGACGGGGACCCGCACAAGUAGUGGAGCAUGUGGUUUAAUUCGAAGAUACGCGCAGAACCUUACCAACACUUGACAUGUUCGUCGCGACUCUAAGAGAUUAGAGCUUUCGGUUCGGCCGGACGAAACACAGGUGCUGCAUGGCUGUCGUCAGCUCGUGUCGUGAGAUGUUGGGUUAAGUCCCGCAACGAGGGCAACCCUCACUUUUAGUUGCCAUCAUUAAGUUGGGCACUCUGAAAGAACUGCCAGUGAUAAGCUGGAGGAAGGUGGGGAUGACGUCAGGUCCUCAUGGCCCUUACGUGUUGGGCUACACACGUGCUACAAUGGCAUCUACAACAGGAAGCAAAACGGCAACGUUAAGCAAAUCCCGAAAAGAUGCCUCAGUUCGGAUUGCACUCUGCAACUCGAGUGCAUGAAGCUGGAAUUACUAGUAAUCGUGGAUCAGCGUGCCACGGUGAAUGCGUUCCCGGGUCUUGUACACACCGCCCGUCACACCAUGGGAGUUGGUUCUACCUUAAGGCAAGGUUUUAAACCCUUGACCACGGUAUAGUCAGCGACUGGGGUGAAGUCGUAACAAGGUAACC